CGUGUAGGCGGCCAACUAAGUCGGACGUGAAAUCCCUCGGCUUAACCGGGGAACUGCGUCCGAUACUGGAUGGCUUGAGUUUGGGAGAGGGAUGCGGAAUUCCAGGUGUAGCGGUGAAAUGCGUAGAUAUCUGGAGGAACACCGGUGGCGAAGGCGGCAUCCUGGACCAACACUGACGCUGAGGAGCGAAAGCCAGGGGAGCAAACG
rnacentral:rRNA from 1 species